rnacentral:rRNA from 1 species
CCUCCGGGAUGAUGGGGACACUGUUGGGACCGCCUCUAGCUAAAGAGGAGGAAGGAAUGGGCAACGGUAGGUCAGCAUGCCCCGAAUUAUCCGGGCUACACGCGGGCUACAAUGGUCAGGACAAAUGGGUAUCGACACCGAGAGGUGGAGGCAAUCUCCUAAACCUGUCCUUAGUUCGGAUUGUGGGCUGCAACUCGCCCACAUGAAGCUGGAAUCCGUAGUAAUCGCGUUUCAAAUAGCGCGGUGAAUAUGUCCCUGCUCCUU